rnacentral:lncRNA from 1 species
UCUUCUGUGCUUAGCUUCACUGGAGUGUCAACACUUAAUACUAGUUAUGUAGAAUUACAACUUUAUAUUUAUUACAGUAAAUACACAGGCAUGUAAGGAAAAAUUCUAGAACAGUUUUUCUUAGUAUGGUAAAAAUUUUAAUCACCAUUUCACUUUUGAAGAUCAUUCUCUCUUGCACAGAGCACUAAAUUCAGUACGAGAUCUGCUAUGAUGUUUCUCUCUUAUAUGUAACCAAGAAAUUUCCCAUGCUGUCACUAAGAAUCAGGACCUAAAAUUAUAUUGGAAAUAUCAUCAAAGGAUAAAUCAUACUGGAUCUUCUUUUGGUUACAUUUAUAGGUAUGUUAUUCAUAUAAAUUCUAUAAAAAUUAUAUACAUUUAUAAAAAUAUAAUAUCCUAUCAGUCAUAAUUUUGACUAUAUUAAACCUUUUCUAAAGUUAUAUUUAUAUAGAUAUUAAUAUAAAUAUUUUAAAGAUUAUGUCAAAUGUAUGGAAGUCUGGUGGUUCUAAUGUGAUGAUUCUGGUUUUUAUCUUACUGUGCUACAUAUAAUAGAAAUAGCUAAAUUUUAUUGCCAAUUGAAAAUUUUCAACCAAUUUUAACCAUGGUUAUUACAAGUUUCUGUCACCCACAAUUCCUGGAGGGUAGGAGCUGCCACUCAGUGACCAUGUCAAGGGCACGUUGGCUCUCAGCCCCAGCCACUCUCCCAUGGCCAGCACACAAGGCCACCACAGCCUGGUCCUGACGUGAUACCCAAGACCGGUGGGUACGAGGGGCAUCUGGUGAGUUAUUGUUUAAACUUCUUCUCUAAAAGCAUUUACAAUAAACUGUGAUCUAAAUUACUUUUCAUGGAAAGGACUCUGACAAGUACUCUUAAACACAAGAUUACUUUGGACAUCAUACCAUCAGAGUAGAAAAAACUUUCAAGACUCUAAGUAAAAAGCUAAAAUAAGAACUGCUAAUCUAACAUCAAGCAGAACAAGAGUUAAUUACACAGGAUUGAACUGAUAGAAUACGAAGAUUUUAUUCAUGACAUUUUCAUUUGAAAUGGCUGAUUCUCUUUAUAUUUUGUUUUCCAGAGUCAAGAUAACCUUUUUUCUUUAUUUUUAAUUGACAACACAUUAGAUAGAAUAUAUUUUUGUGGACAAAAAUUUGAGGUAUUUAUAUUUCUCUCUACCUGAUUUCUCCAGAAUUUGGAAGCCAUUUGUGAGUAUUCUUAAUUAAUGGCAAUACAAUUAUUUGCAUAAGUUCAAUAAGAAUCUGUUUCCUUUUGUAACAGGAUACAACUGGAGACACUGGUUAUUUUACCAAGGCUUUGAUUAGAAUGGCAUAUUUUCAGAUAUGAUCAGGCUGCUUUGAGAAAUUGGUGCUGACUUCAUAGAGCCAAUGAAAAACUUAGAAAGACUGGACUGGUACCUUGUCUACAAUGUUUCCUUACAGGGUUUCUGUCCUUCUGAUAAUUAAAGAAUAUCACUUUCUGACAGGCCUGGGAACCUCAAGAUAUUUUGGAACCUUGAGAAGAGAGAAAUACACUCAUUCAUACAGAUUUUACAGCCACAAUCUGAUGGAUUAACCAUGGCUUUACUAGACUCAAGGCUUUUAAAAAUCUAAAAUUUCUUAUAAAUAGGUUCCAACAAAGCUAAUUUUAAAAAAGAAGCUUAUAAGGCCAAUUAUUGCUGCACUUUAUGCAAAUAAUCAUGCCAGGUAGAUAUAAGACUAAAACUUAUUUUGCAAACAAGUCAGUCCUAUGAUUUGUCUCUGAUAAAAAUGAGAAGCUUGAGAAAGAUAAAUUAUAUUUCAACAGCAAACUAUAACACACCUGUUAUUGGAUUCCAACACUGACCAUUGUUUUUAAGUUUUUAUCAUUUGUUAUAAUCAAGACUGAAUCCUGAAUUUUUCCUGGCUUCAAUAAGUGUCCCUAAUGAACCUGCAUAUAAUAUAUUUUAAAAACUUCUUGUUAUGAUUUCCAUCAGGAAUAGGAUCUAUUUUUGAAGUACUACUUAAACUAGGAAUUAUAAUUCAAUAUAUGUUGGAGUUUCUCUUCCAUCUUGUUAAGUUCGGUACCUACUAUUUGUUUCUUAUUUUUAAAAUCAAACUGAUUAUAUCCUACCCAAUACCAAUGACAUGUUCUUUAACCUGUCUUUGUUAUGAGUAAACCGAAGACUUUUCCAUGUUUAUCAGGGACACUAUGUGAACCUCCUGAAUAUGCAUUUAUUUGUCAACAUAUUGACCACCCCUGGUUUUAUGCAUGUGUUGACAGCUGAUGCAAGAGAGUUAAUUGUUUAUUAGGUUAUCUGACUAUUCUUCUUUCUAUUUAUAGCUUCACUGCUUCUCAAUAUUGGACCAGUUUCUUAAAACUAUUUUCCAGGAAUAGACAAACCCUACCUGCAAACCAAGAAGACAGAUUUUGGCCUAUGUUUAGCAAUAUUCUCUUGCCAUGAUGGAGAGUAUCCUCUCAUGAACAACGAUUAUAAAUCUGUCAAUCACCCUAUGUAACUUCUCAAAUGAAGCAGCUAAAGCCAUAGCUGCCCAAUAAAAAUCUUUAAACUCUUUAGCCACAGUAGUAAUGGAUAACAGAAUACCCCUAGACUAAGUAUUGGUGGAACAGGAAAGAGUUUCUAUGGUAGCUAACAUAUCAUGUUGUGUUUACAUCAAUACAUCUUCUGAAGUUGAAACACACAUGAAAUAAGAAGACAACAAGCUAAUUAAUCACAACAAAUUCCCAGGGAAGAACCAGGUGCCAACUAGUUCUCAGAUAUAUUUUUCUGAAUCCCACAUAGAAUUCAAUGUAUGCCCCCAAGCCAUAUGAAAAUUAAGACUUUACCUAUUACUAAUGCUCAUUUUUGGACAUUUGGUUAUCAAAUGCUGCCUCUGAUGUUAAACCUUUAAACUGUUAAAAGAGAAACCAAUGUAUUAAUAAUGCUAAAUGUUAAUAUUGUACCAGAUAUUAGAGAAUAUCUUCAACUUAAUGCAAAAUGAUUUCAUCCUUUAGGCCCAAACCUGCACCCCUAGUCAGUAGGAAAAAGCUAGAAUGGAUGUUGCCCCUAAUCCCUCAUGACUGAAGAAUGCACAUAGAACAGGGGGGAUUUAAACCAUGACCCAAAGAUUUAGUUAAAGAAACCAAUGGCUAAAAGAAGUUAUUGAGUUUGCAGGUUGGCAGAUUAAAAAAAGAAGAAGAGGAAACAACAACAACAACAACAAAACAACAACAACAACAACAAAAACUUGCUGAAACACUGAAACUCCCUUUGCUUAUUAACUAAAGAACACUGACUGAAAUUGGUUGGACUCAAUAUGGCCAACUAGAGUCUGCACAGAAAGAGCUUGCUGACAUUGCAACCUGAAUUUUCAGUGCAUGUUUCAUAACAGCUCCCUCCAACUUUGUACAUGUGAUCCAUGCGAUAGAAUGAAGUUAACUGUAUGCCCAGGGACUUUCUAGACCUUCUCUUUCCUUCCACCAAUUAUUUGAUCAUCUCAGAAUCCACCUCCUGAAACUUUUUGUAUACAAAUACUGCUUUGAAGCCAGCAUGGGGAGAAAAACUUGAGUUUGACAUGCCUGUCUUCUUGUGAGUCAACUUGCAAAAUAAAGCUUCCCUUUCCUCAAAAA